AUGAUGAACUCUGGUAGCUCCGAUGUGUCUGAGCUGUGUUCACUCAUGGGCCAGGGGAGCUAUGGAGAGGGAGUGGAGCACCAGGGGAGCCCAUCCUUGGGAGACCCCAGGGGAGCCCAUCCCUGGGAGACCUCAGGGGAACCCAUCCCUGGAAGACCUCAGGGGAGUCCAUCCCUGGGAGACCCCAGGAGCCCUCAAGCAGUGAUUUCAGAGUCAUCUCUUCUUCCCUGCAGCCUGGCUAUCCUGCCUGGAACCUCUGAGACUGUUCUGUUCCUCACACCCUCUCAGAAGCAUCUCAGCAAGCCCUGUGGGAUUCAGUGUGGGUCUCUUGAGGUUACUUCCUACUCAUCCAUGCCUGGGCCCCUGGCUCCUUCUGCAAAGACUCCCAUUCCAGGUCCUAGAAGCAAUCCUGACUGGGGAAAGCCUAGACCCUGCUCUGAGGCCUUAGUGUGUGAGCCAAGAGGUAAGUCAUACCCUGUGGGGUUUGUAUGGGGCCUACCCGGACCUCACUCCAGACCUCACUAUCUGCUCUACCCUCAAGGUAAGUAUAAAUGAACGCUUUGCUCCAUUUUUGGGUCUUGACACAUAAGUCAUCUCCACAGGGAAGUCCUCUAUGAUUGCCCAGAUUGGGUUAGAUCUUGGAUACAUGUUCUCAUUAUGCUCAAGUCUUCUCCUUCCAUAACUCUCAUCACAUCUGACAUUUUUGGGUAAUGAGUCCUUUAUCAUCUGUUUCCCCUGCUAGACUAAGUAUCAUGGGUGCAGGGGUUUUCCGGCACGGCUCCAAAGCCUGGCACGUGAGAGGUGCGCAGUGAAUAUUUGACUGGAUGAAUGAAAUCCUGCUUGUUCUCCUCACCUGGAUAUCAUAUCAGCCUUACUGGGCUCCAACUCCACAGGGAAGCAGAGAAGCACGUGAGUUUCUGUCCCCUCCCCACCCCUCCCUGAAUGACUUAGUGUGGAGGACACUGGUAUGUGUUGAAAGGAGACUAUGAGAGAUCGAUGAUCAUGAGGCCAGUAAUAGAACUUGAGACAAGAAGGCCCCCUCCUUGGCCUCAGCCGACCCGAUGCGCCCACCAUAUGCCCUGUGGAGGCACAGCCUGUGGCUGACGACCCACAGGAGGAGAGGAGGGGCCGUGCCUCACCUCGCAG
rnacentral:lncRNA from 1 species